CCAGAGAGCCAGUUUGCCAGCACUGUGAUAUCUCUGGCACAUGAGACGUUUCAUUACCCAGAGGGUGAGAUUCAAAGUACCACAUUAUAUUUAGUUGUCAAGUCUCCUUAGGUUCGUCUUGGCUGUGACAAUUUCUCGCUUUCCUGACUUCUGAUGACCUUGAUGGUUUUGAAGAGCACUGGUCAGCACGUUCAUUUCUUCCUGCUGCUGCCCUUGGACAUCAGACUCCAGGUUGUUCGGCCUUUGGAUUCAGAUGGAAUCCUUGGCCUCAUUUCUCCUUCUGAGGUUCAGCUUCUUGGCCUGAGCUGCUCCAGCCUUCCCUGACUCCCAACCUGUCGACAACUACCAGGGGACUCUUCCGCCUCUGUUUGUGUGAGCCAAUCUAAUAAAUCUUCUUAUGAUUCUAUGUA